UACGGAGGGUGCAAGCAUUAAUCGGAAUUAUUGGGCGUAAAGGGCGCGUAGGCGGAUUUCCAAGUCAGAUGUGAAAUUCCGAAGCUCAACUUCGGAGCUGCAUAUGAAACUGGAGACCUAGAGGGAUGGCGGAGAAAACGGAAUUCCACGUGUAGCGGUGAAAUGCGUAGAUAUGUGGAGGAACACCUGUGGCGAAAGCGGUUUUCUAGCUUAUACCUGACGCUGAGGCGCGAGAGCAAGGGGAGCAAACAGG
rnacentral:rRNA from 1 species